ACCUUUUCUCUUUAACAUAAACACCUUUUUCCGUAACAGUGUAUGCCGACAAUGUAGAGGCUUUGACAUACUUUUCAAGGCACUCCCCCAGACAAAAUUGCCGUAACUAAUUUGACAGCGAAUCAAAAGCAAUAUAGUUAAAUUAAAGUAUGUCUCAUUAAAAUGCUAUUUAAUUUAUAAAGAAUUCCAAUACUUUUUUGCAAUUUUGUUGUCCAUUGUGCGGAAUGAUGUCAAAAAAUUAGGUGCCCCAAGAAGACCAAACAGUCUUGUCUCAGAGUACCACGGAAGUGCAUUUAACCAGGAAGUUCACGCCUCCUUCCUUAUCGUGACGCGAAAGUAUAUCCAGAGCUCGUUUUGAACCUGGAUCUCCUGCUUAUAAAGCAAGCGCUCUAACUCAUGCGCCACGGCCGCAUGAAAUGUAUUUAUAUAGUUAUAUAUUAUACAUAAAUACAUAAGCAUAAUUUUAUUUAUAUCAUUUACUUAUAUAAAUGGAAUAAUAUGCAGUUAAGCGGCAUAAAAGAAUUUUAUUUUUUUGCUUGUUGUGAUAUUUGCUCAAAGUGGUGACUUUUUAAAUAAAUUUAAGGAAUAUUUUAAUAUACUUUUUAUUUUUUUUUAUUGUCGAUGUCAAAGCAUUUCCUUGUAACAGCAGGCUAUAAGGUAGUCAAUGUAGCAGCACUCUCUUAUAGUUAAAAUAAAUUUCUGGCAUAAUCAACAGUAAGUAAAUUAAUAGACAAUUGUUUUGUGGUAAUUAAGUGGAUCACAUAUAAAUAUCUUGUUUUAAAUUACAAGUUGCAGUUCGAAAACUUGAAAAAGGACCAAGUAAUGCAGGUGUCGAGAGGUCCAUAGAGCGAUGGCUAAUGCAAUACAUAUAUGUAGUAUUUCAUUGAGAGUAUUUUGUGAAACAACAGGAUUAUCUAAUCUUAUCAUAGAGUUAAUGACUUGUGAUGUAUUGGAUAAACAGCGUUAGGUACUUUUUUUAUAUGGCAUCCCAAGAAACUUCAUUGAUAUAGAAAUUGAUAUAAAAAAUAAAAGAAAACAAUUACAAAAAAACUCAGCAUGUGUAUACUACACAGAUGCUGAGUUUUUCGUUGUAGUUACAAAUUUUUUCUUAUUUUACAAUUUCUUCACUUUUUUUAGGGUGACUUGGUUUUAAUUACUAAAUCUAUCAGGUGCAAUCUGACAGACAGAUAUAUAUGGAUAUCGAGAUGUACCAAAUGUUAGAUCGUGCAAGCAUCAAAUUGAAGUUUAACCAUAAACUUACGCUACCAUAUCCGUACGCUAACCAUAAACUUUUAUAUGUAUUGUAUUGCAUUGAAAUAAAAAUAUUUGAUAAUAUUAAACUUAUUGCAAAAA